UACGGGGGGGGCAAGCGUUGUUCGGAAUUACUGGGCGUAAAGGGCGCGUAGGCGGCCCUCUAAGUCGGACGUGAAAUCCCUCGGCUCAACCGGGGAACUGCGUCCGAUACUGGAGGGCUUGGAUCCGGGAGAGGGAUGCGGAAUUCCAGGUGUAGCGGUGAAAUGCGUAGAUAUCUGGAGGAACACCGGUGGCGAAGGCGGCAUCCUGGACCGGCAUCGACGCUGAGGCGCGAAAGCCAGGGGAGCAAACGGGAUUAGAUACCCCGGUAGUCCUGGCCCUAAACGAUGAAUGCUUGGUGUGGCGGGUAUCGAUCCCUGCCGUGCCGGAGCUAACGCGUUAAGCAUUCCGCCUGGGGAGUACGGUCGCAAGGCUGAA
rnacentral:rRNA from 1 species